AGCUUUGCGCAGUGGCAGUAUCGUAGCCAAUGAGUUUUAUCUGGGGCGUGAUUAUUGCUAAUUGAAAGGCUGGUGAAAUAGCUCAUCUGGUUAGCACACCUGGUAUGACAUGGAUUUGAGUCC
rnacentral:snRNA from 1 species